rnacentral:lncRNA from 10 species
CUUCUGUGCAGGAGCCUGUUCUCCUAGGAUGGCGGAGCUGGGAGGGCUGGGCUUCUCGUCUGUUUUGUUCACUUUGGGAUCCCCAGAGCCUCCAGUGGAGCCUGGCGUGGUCUAAACGCUUAGUAAACAUUUGCUGGAUGAAUGGAGCAGUGGAAGCAUGAGGAGUGACUGGCUGCAGGCAAGACCAAGGCCACCACUGUGGGCCCUCCUUCCAGUCAGGCCUGAGGACAAGGUGAGCUCGCUGAGUCCAGCCUCGUGGUCUUCUCCAAGAUGCCGCCAGAUGCCCAGCCUACAGCCUCUCAGGGUCGGAUCGGAGCACGCCUGCCUCCCUCUCCCCUCCGCCCUCACCCAGCCAAUCCGAGGCUGCUUCGCACUUUGCCCUCUGCCUGGUGGGGAGGGGAGAGCUCAGCCCCCGACUCACUCAGACCCCAAGGCCCACUGUCCAGCUGCAGAAAUUCGUUGCCAAAGAUUGGACAGAGACACCGAAGGAAAUGGGGUGGUGAAACCCCACAGCGAAAAGCCACACCGUUGCUCUGUGACUUUUGCUCCUCCUGUUGCCUGAGCCCCAUCUCAAGCCAAAGAUGAGUCAGUGGUUCUGCUAGGAACUCAUGGAAUGGAUGGGCAUUUGAUGACCCCUGGGGGUCAUCUUGGCCCUCUGACCUGGUGCUCUCUCUCCACUGGGCCUUGUGCUGGCUGAGUGCAAGACAAGCCUUAGGGGCUGUGAGAGGGAGGCUGGGGUGCCUGGGCGGGGCUGGGAGUGGGACCUGAGAUCCCUGCCCACUCUCUCCCCUUCAUUGGCUGCCCAGGCCACUGGCCCCAGUUCUCAGUGUCCCUUGGGUCCAGGCUCCUUGGGCCCUAAGCAUCACCAGAAGGGAGUAAGCAGGGAGAGAAGCAAUAUUACUCCCUCCCCUACACCAGGGACUUGCCCCAGGGCAGCUACCUAUGGGUCUUUGCUUCCCCAGCCAGCCUCUCCUCACUGUGACCCACCCCCAUGGGCCCCCGUCCCAGGCAGCCAGCACCAUGGGCAGGCCCUGCCAUGGACAGAAAAAGAGUUUUUCUCUUGUUCAGCCUGCACGUGGCCUGAGGAAGGAGUAGAGGCUGGGUUGGCUGGAGCCGUCCUACUGGGCAAGAUGGCGCCCCACUUGGAGGGCGGUGGUCUGUUACAGGGUGUGCAGGGGCAGAGAAGGAAGGGACCAGGGGACUGGGCCAGUAUGUGGAGGAUGGGGCCUGCGUGUUCAAAGCCAAGGCCCGCCCCUUCCUUGUGCUCAAAUGGCCAAAGCUGUUCACGUCUGUGCUCAACCAUCUGCUUCAAAUUGAAGUAAAAGCCCCAAAAUGUCAAG